rnacentral:rRNA from 1 species
GCGUAGGAAGUUUGAGAGGAUCUGACCCUAGUACGAGAGGACCGGGUUGGACGAACCUCUGGUGUGUCAGUUGUUCCGCCAGGAGCACCGCUGAUUAGCUACGUUCGGGAUGGAUAACCGCUGAAAGCAUCUAAGCGGGAAGCCGGCCUCAAGAUGAGACUUCCAUACCUUUUAGGUGAGAGGCUCCCAGUAGACGACUGGGUUGAUAGGCCGGAUGUGGAAGCGAGGACUAAAGACUCGUGAAGCUGACCGGUACUAAUAAGCCGAAAACUU